ACGUCAGCAGGAGUUAAACGAAGUAAGACGCCUCACUCGUGGACCCCCGGCUCCUUCAAUGAAUAUUCACUUCUGCACGGUAUCAUUAUAAUCGCUCCUGUGGCCUGCUUUGUUUUCUGGUCCUGCUUUGGGAUGUGGCCGUGUAGCUUGAGGUGAGAAGUCAUCAGCAGGCUCACUCAUCCUAGAGGUUGAUGGUCUUGAUGGGGAUGGACAGAAUGAAGGUGGCUCGGUUGGAGGAGACAAAUUAGCAGUUGCCCCUGGAGGGACAGCAGGUGGUCCUGAUGGAGGACGUGUCCCAGAAGUAGAAGGCACAGCAGAUACGGCAAGAGGGCGAUCAGUGACUACUGAUGGAGCAAAGUCACACUCUUGGAUUAUUAAAUGGCAUCGAAAUGCUGCCUGCCCAUUUGUAGGUGUUGCUGCCAGUGGCAGGGACACUGUGACAGUGCCUGGGAUAUCAUAAAUUGUCAUCGUCAUCCCCGGGUGGGUCUUCAUCCAAGAAUCACAGGCUGAGUUGCCGACUCUUUUAAUGGCCCAUCUACACUCCUGUCAAGUGGCUGUCAUUUGUGAAAGCAGUGGGGGGGCGGACAGCAGAGCAAUUCCAUGGCUGCCUUCUAUUGACAGGUGGGAUGGGUGAUUGUCAAGAAUUAAAAGAACUUUGGAGUCUGAGGAGCUCUUUGUGUGGCUGAAAGUGUUUCAAGUACACAAGAAAGUCAGCCGCUUGCCUCCACCCUGAUGCGUUGGCUGUCCCAAUACAGCCAGGGGGUCCGUCCUGAACAAAAGGAGAUUUGGACACGUGGGUCACGCGGGGAGCAGCAGCAACAGCAGCAGCAACAUCGGGGUAUGGAGGCACCAAGUGCAUUGAGUGUACAAGCCAGGGUGACAAGUGUGCCUCUUUCUGCUUGCCUGGCACCACGUCUUGCCACAACCCAGUUGGCAGUGUGAACAGUUGUCAUGCCAGUUUCGUGUUCCAUGUGUCUUGUGACUGAAACUUGUGUUUGUCCAAAACCUGACUUGAAUUGUUACACAAACUGUUAACAUUUGUUUCAUUAAAACUGGUUGCCCUCGAAA